rnacentral:rRNA from 1 species
UGGGGAAUAUUGGACAAUGGGCGAAAGCCUGAUCCAGCCAUGCCGCGUGUGUGAAGAAGGUCUUCGGAUUGUAAAGCACUUUAAGUUGGGAGGAAGGGCAGUAAGCGAAUACCUUGCUGUUUUGACGUUACCGACAGAAUAAGCACCGGCUAACUCUGUGCCAGCAGCCGCGGUAAUACAGAGGGUGCAAGCGUUAAUCGGAAUUACUGGGCGUAAAGCGCGCGUAGGUGGUUCGUUAAGUUGAAUGUGAAAGCCCCGGGCUCAACCUGGGAACUGCAUCCAAAACUGGCGAGCUAGAGUAGGGCAGAGGGUGGUGGAAUUUCCUGUGUAGCGGUGAAAUGCGUAGAUAUAGGAAGGAACACCAGUGGCGAAGGCGACCACCUGGGCUCAUACUGACACUGGGGUGCGAAAGCGUGGGGAGCAAACAAG